rnacentral:lncRNA from 1 species
UACAAUUUUUCUAUUAUUUCUUACUCGUUGCUUACGAAGUACACGUACGUUUUGAUCACUCUCGUUCGUUAUUAAAAAUCUGUGAAACAGUAAUUCCAUCAAAAUGCAUAAGUUGUUCGCAUUUCUUUUGGUUGUUUGCGUUGCUGCAACUUUGGCUUAUCCUGCGGAAGAAGCUGGACUAAAAGAAGACGUCAAAGUGGACAGACAUGCCAGAGCUGUUGAACCUACUGAACAUGCUGAUCCAGCUCCCAAAUCAGGACUUGCACCUACUGAACAAACCCUUCACCAUGGUGGUAGUCAUCCUCCCCCUCAUCAUUAAUAAAUUUGGAAUGAAAUAAAAAUUAAAAUUCAACACAAAUAAUAUCUUAUAUCAAUAAUAUAUAACACAUUCGAUAUAUAUAUAUAUAUAAAAUGGUUGCAUGUAAUUCUAUUCGUAAAUGUAAAAACAGAAUAUCUCUGUUAUUAUCCAUUAUUGUGAAUUAAAUAAAAACUAUCUCUUUUAAAAAAGGGAAA